rnacentral:tRNA from 1 species
GUUCACUUAGCUUAAAAAAAGCAUUAUAUUGAAAAUAUAAAGAUAUUUGUUAUCAAAUUAUGAACA